rnacentral:lncRNA from 1 species
CAGCAGGGGAGGCCGCCGCUCGCCGCCGCACCGCGCCCGGCCCCGCAGGUGGGCGAGCCGCAGCGGGGCCCUCCGGGUCCCAAGAUGGCCGCCGCUGCCUGUCCGCCUCCUGCGGUUCGCUGUGACACACACGAGAUGACUUUGUUCUUUGGGUGCCUACUGCUAGACAGACGCAUCCUGUUGUGAUAAAGGAGACCAGCUGGAUUUAGGACUGCGGCGGCGUGUUUGCGGUACGACUGACCAUAUGUGAUUUUCUGUCACGUUUGCAGCUUUAACGGGCUCGCAGCACCAGCCGGCACGAGAGAGCGCAGUGCUCGCUCUGCUGCUUCCUCAGCUGCUGAGGAAAUGGGACACGAGUGGAAAUGGUAAGAAAGCUUUUGAACCACGUGGAGAAUGUGAGAACUGUAGCCCAUAGGUGACUAAAAAUUGUGAAAUUGUACUAAGGGGAAACGGGAGGAUAUGGAGAUUGCAGCUCAGAUGCGCUCUAAGAGCGUGUUGGGCUAUUUGACAGCGAGGGUAAAGGCAGAAAGGCAGCAUCCAUCUCUGGUGCAGCGAGGGGAGAGAGAGAGUCUUGGGUUAAGUGUUCAUUUCUCACUUGCAGAGUGCAUAAUACUGGUUCUUAGUGGAAAAGGCUUUUAAAUUGGCUUCUGGGCAGCAAGCGAUGCAUACAGGAGAUUGAUUUCGUUUUAGAACUCUGCCUUACUUGGAUGCAGAUGGCGUGAACGGUUUCCUAAGGAUUUAAACAACCUUGAAAAAAGCUCGUAUCAUUUGCUUUUCUUUUCCCACCCACCGUACCAUUGUCAGGCUUCAGUGUUCCCAUGGAACAGGGGAUGUGCAGAACGCGUUGGGCAUUACUCUCGGUGCGGCACAGUGUGCACAGCGCUGCGGCACGCAGGGAGGGACCUCUCAGCAUCUGGUCACCUUCAGCCAGCGUUGCCAAGUCACUGCUGCUCGGGAGCAGCCAGAGCACGGCUUCCACUUUCAGGCUCUUCCUUCCCCGUGCUGAAGCUGAGUAACAGAUUUGCAUACAAUAUGAAUACGCUGUUUUGUUUCUUGUAGCGCCCUGUAUUAAAAUUUCAGAAACCACUCUUAAAUAAAAGCUCUGUCAGCGUGACACAGCUGAGAUGUUACAAGUGCAUGCACGUGCAGAGGUGUCAGAUUCAUCUCCAUUUCAUGCAGCAUUUACAUUAAAGAACCUGGGAGGUCUCCCCUUACCGCACUUGUCUGCAGCUUCUUUGCUCAAGGACUGGUCGUGACCCCAUCUCCCAUGUCCGCAGUGCAAAGUCAGCGCAUGAGGUUUCCUUUGGAUUAACUGGGGAAGCACAGGGGUAACUCCCUUCGUCAGAAAAGUGGGAAGAUUUGUCUCCACAUCAAACGUGCUUCAGAGCUAUUAAAAGGAGCAGUUUCUGGAGGUGUGCCAGGCUCCACAUCGCGUGCUUUCUCCCUGUUUUGCUUAAGGACUCCUGCAUUUGGUCCUCACCACAGAGACAGUCCCAGGCUGGGUGACAAACUCUGCUUUAUUUUGAGCUCUGCUUGCUAAGGAAAGUCCUUAAUGCACAUACUGGAUUUGAGUGUUUGCCUGUGUGUAGAUGAGUUAGCAGCCCAUGAGGUGAUGCUGGUAUCGCACUGAGAACAGCCCAGUCAUUGCAAGUGAGUCACUGUACCACACGUGCAGCAUUUUGAGGGAAAUCAAUCUGAAGACUACACACUGUCUUUGCUGGUCAGCAGUGAAUUGCAUCUCUCCACUUCCACACAUCCCUGAGGGAUGGGGCCAUGCAGGGGAGCACAGGGCCUGCACACUGGGUCUCCCUGGGUUCCAGCAGGACCCUUAUGCCAGUGGGCAGUACCACACGUGCCACCACCCUGGGCAGCUCCUGGGGACAGGCCUGGCACGUGGUGUCCUACCCACCCCAGGCAGAGCACGUGCUGAGGGGUGCGAGGCUGAAUGGCAGCACAGUGCCCAGGAGGCCACAUGCUCCCCGCGGCACCGUUCUCCUUCUGACAGCAUCCUGGCAUCGGUGAAAAAGCAGCAGCCUGUUUCUUUGUGUCUCCUGGGGCUCGGCUGAGUUUCUAGGUUACAUCCCCUGCCUGCGAGCCUCCAUCCCUCCUGAGAUGAGCACAGGAUGUGGAUAGUGAGGAUGCAGCCAAACCCUCAUCACACUGCAGCAGCCACUGCUACAGUGCAGCAGAUCUCAAGCGCAG